AUUGAACGCUGGCGGCAGGCCUAACACAUGCAAGUCGAACGAGUGGCGGACGUGUGAGUAAUGUCUGGGAAACUGCGCGAUGGAGGGGGUUCACUACUGGAAACUGUAGCUACUACCGCAUUCCAUCGGCUGUGCCCAGAUGGGAUUAGCUAGUGGGUGGGGUAACGGCUCACCUAGGCGACGAUCCCUAGCUGGUCUGAGAGGAUGACCAGCCACACGGGAACUGAGACACGGUCCAGACUCCUACGGGAGGCAGCAGUGGGGAAUAUUGCACAAUGGGCGCAAGCCUGAUGCAGCCAUGCCGCGUGUAUGAAGAAGGCCUUCGGGUUGUAAAGUACUUUCAGCGAGGAGGCGUUACUCGCAGAAGAAGCACCGGCUAACUCCGUGCCAGCAGCCGCGGUAAUUC
rnacentral:rRNA from 1 species